rnacentral:rRNA from 1 species
GACGAACGCUGGCGGCGUGCUUAACACAUGCAAGUCGAACGCUGAAGCUCAGCUUUUGUUGGGUGGAUGAGUGGCGAACGGGUGAGUAACACGUGAGUAACCUGCCCCCUUCUUUGGGAUAACGCCCGGAAACGGGUGCUAAUACUGGAUAUUCACUGGUCUUCGCAUGGGGGUUGGUGGAAAGGGUUUUUCUGGUGGGGGAUGGGCUCGCGGCCUAUCAGCUUGUUGGUGGGGUGAUGGCCUACCAAGGCUUUGACGGGUAGCCGGCCUGAGAGGGUGACCGGUCACAUUGGGACUGAGAUACGGCCCAGACUCCUACGGGAGGCAGCAGUGGGGAAUAUUGCACAAUGGACGCAAGCCUGAUGCAGCGACGCCGCGUGAGGGAUGGAGGCCUUCGGGUUGUGAACCUCUUUCGCUCAUGGUCAAGCCGCAACAAUGGUUGUGGUGAGGGUAGUGGGUAAAGAAGCGCCGGCUAACUACGUG